rnacentral:ncRNA from 1 species
UAAAAUUCCAUGAAGGGAAGGAGUACGUUAUCAUUCUGUUCCAAAGAGAGCUGGUGCUUUGCUGAAAGCCAGUGUCCAGAAUCUGACCGAAGAUCAUCCCCGAGAAGUAAAGCCGAAGCUUCAGUAAGCUUUACCGGUUUCCCCCCGUUAAAUGGGAUGUGCGUUUAAUUAUUAAACAAGAGUGGUGCCGCGAGUUCAAGUCUCGUCUCUUAA